rnacentral:rRNA from 1 species
ACGCUCGACACCUACGGGAGCAGCAGUGGGGAAUAUUGCACAAUGGGGGAAACCCUGAUGCAGCGACGCCGCGUGAGCGAAGAAGUAUUUCGGUAUGUAAAGCUCUAUCAGCAGGGAAGAAGAAAGACGGUACCUGACUAAGAAGCCCCGGCUAACUACGUGUCAGCAGCCGCGGUAAUCUGAGGCGGGCGUGGCAAGGC